UUAACACAGAAGGUCUGUCUCUGUUUUAAAAAUGAAUAUAUAASUUUUAGGUGAAAAGGCUUAAAUUUUUUAAGGGGACGAUAAGACCCUAUAAAGCUUUAUAAUGGAAUAUAAUUUUUUUGAAAUAUUAUAUAAAAAUAAAAUUUUAUUUUUUUAUUUUAUUGGGGCGAUACGGAUAAAAAUAAAAUUAACUGUCAGAAAUAGAAUACAUAUAUUUAUGUUUAGUAUAAAAUGAUCCUAAAUAAAGAUUAAAAGAUAAAGUUACUUUAGGGAUAACAGCGUUAUUUCUUUUGAGAGUCCUUAUUGAAAAAGAAGUUUACGACCUCGAUGUUGAAUUAAAAUAUCUUUACAGUGUAGCCGUUGUAAGAG
rnacentral:rRNA from 1 species